UCCCUCUCUCCCGUUAUCUAAUCCCAUCUGAACCCCUCUCUCUCUCUCCCUAAAUUUCUCUCCCAAUCUCAUAAUGCGAUUGCAAUCGCCGCUAUCUGAGUCACUGUUUCUGAAUUCGUCGAGGUUUGAUCGGACUAGGAGUUUAUGACAUCGCAGUGGCGACGGAGGAGAGGCUAGGUUAAGGUUUGAGUUUUCGGGAGCUAUCUGCUCGAAAUCGGUGACAAUGGCGCCGAGGCUCGGUUCCAGCGACGCAUUAGACUUCAAGUUCCUUCUCUUUCUGGUAGAAAUUUACGAUCCCAUCGCUGUGCUUGUCUACUUGAUUGUUCUAUAAUCUCGCCGUCAGAUUCACGCCUUGGUUUUCAGAUCAACGCAUGAUAGAUUUCCGAUUCAUUCUUUUCACGAUUCGGCAAAUUUUUUCGCGAUAUAAGUGUGGUGAGAGAAAUGAACGGCGGCGGAGAGGGGCUCGCGGCUCCGGCGAUGGCGCCGCUCGACUGAAAGUUUUCUCAAGUUUUUGGAGAACAGACCGUCAGCGAGGAAGUUCAGGAAGGUACUCUUCUCGAUUCUCUCCUUUCAUUUUCGGUUGAGUUAGAGAUUUCAUUGUUUCUUGUCAUACUCAUUCUCAUUAAUACUCAUUGCAAUUUUCACUUGUUGGAUGAUUAGCUUUAAAUUGAUAUUAGGUGAGGUAUUCAUGUCUAGAAUAAGAAUUGUCGUACUCCAAUGAAAUUAAGAUGAAUUAAAGUGGGGUUUAGCUAGUUUGAUUAUAGACGGAAGCACUUAAACUUUAGUCUGCACGGUUUAUCAUAUAUAUGGUUUAGUUAAUGGUUGUUUGCUCUGUGGCUAAUCAUCGAUGAAAUAUUUGGAAUUAUCUACUUGGUGUGUUUUUCCAGCGCUGUAUUGGUGCGCUUGAAGUAUAUUGGAUUUGAUUCUAAAAAUUGUUGGUAGACAAAUUUCCUUUAUACAUAUGUAGUUUCAGGCCUUUAUGAUUACUGACUCUUCAAAUUGGUGACUAGCUUCUGAGUUGUCAUGUGUUGUUAUUUUGAUCUUGUAGAUUGAUGUUUAUUCGUUUAGGAUUGUUAUAUGGGAAUUGCUUACUGGCGAUGAACCUAUACAGAUAUGCAUUGUGCUUCUAUAAUUGGUAAGGACCAAUGUUUUGGAGGCUUAUGAUCUAUUUGUGUAUCGUGAAUGAUUCCUUCCAUUUUACAUUUGGUAGGUUCACUUAUAUAGGUUACUGUUAUCAUUUUUUUAAUAUAUGCACACCAAUCUUAGAGAAGCUUCACCUUAUGUGCAGAUAUAAAUUUGAUUUCAAUUUCAUUUAUUGCUUGGAAUUGUGGUCACUAUCGUCUACUUCAUAUUUGUGUGUGUGUGUCAAAUUAUCUUUAUGAAGUGUCAAUUAUGUGGCUCUUACCGGCAAUGCUUCAUGAUACCCAAUAGGAGCUAUGAUGGCAUGACCGCAAUGUUUUUCUUAUUUUGGUUGGGGACUAUGGUACUCUGAUAUCAAAGCCCAGCUUUCCUUUUGAAGACGUGUAUAUAAAUUAAUCAUGAGUACCAUGGUGAAAGCUAUGUCAUGAGAUAUAGCUUUCUGCUUCCAAAUUAGAUCUAGACUACUGCACCAAUUUUUGUUAUUUUUCAUUUUCAGCAUAUGCUUCUUUAUGUCAGAUGUUAUAGCCAGGGACAUCAGAUAAUUAUAUGCCCGGCUGAUGCUUUCGUCAAAUGUAAAAAGUGAUUCAUUA